rnacentral:rRNA from 1 species
UGAAUACGAGACGCUAAGGCGUCGAAGUAGUGUAUGUCAUACUUCCAAGAAAAGCUUGCACUGUCAUAGAUAAAAAACGCCUGUACCAUAACCGACACAGGUGGGUAGGUAGAGUAUACUAAGGGGCGCGAGAUAACUCUCUCUAAGGAACUCGGCAAAAUAACUCCGUAACUUCGGGAGAAGGAGUGCCUUAUUAUUAAGGCUGCAAUAACAAGAUCCAAGCAACUGUUUAUCAAAAACACAGGUCUCCGCUAAGUCGUAAGACGAUGUAUGGGGGCUGACGCCUGCCCAGUGCCAGAAGGUUAAAGAAGUUGGUUAGCAUUUGCGAAGCUGAUAACUGAAGCCCUGGUGAACGGCGGCCGUAACGAUAACGGUCCUAAGGUAGCGAAAUUCCUUGUCGGGUAAGUUCCGACCCGCACGAAAGGCGCAAUGAUUUGGAUACUGUCUCGGAGAGGGGCUCGGUGAAAUAGACUUGUCUGUGAAGAUGCGGACUACCUGCACCAGGACAGAAAGACCCUAUGAAGCUUUACUGUAACUUGAAAUUGAAAUUGGACUUUAUUCGCGCAGCAUAGGUGGGAGGCGUUGAUUAUAAUCUUGUGGGAUUAUUGGAGCCAUCAGUGAGAUACCACUCUUGUAAUGUUAGAUUUCUAACUUUGAAUCAUUAUCUGGUCAAAGAACAGUUUCAGGCGGGCAGUUUGACUGGGGCGGUCGCCUCCUAAACGGUAACGGAGGCGUACAAAGGUUUCCUCUGAACGGUUAGAAAUCGUAUCUAGAGUGUAAAGGCAUAAGGAAGCUUGACUGUGAGACCUACAAGUCGAGCAGGGACGAAAGUCGGUCUUAGUGAUCUGACGGUACUGAGUGGAAAGGCCGUCACUCAACGGAUAAAAGUUACUCUAGGAUAACAGGCUGAUCUCCCCCAAGAGUUCACAUCGACGGGGAGGUUUGGCACCUUGAUGUCGGCUCAUCGCAUCCUGGGGCGGUAGUACGUCCCAAGGGUUGGGCUGUUCGCCCAUGAAAGCGGUACGCGAGCUGGGUUCAGAACGUCGUGAGACAGUUCGGUCCAUAUCCGGUGUAGGCGUUAGAAUAUUGAGAGGAGCCUUCUUUAGUACGAGAGGACCGAGAAGGACAUACCUCUGGUGUACCAGUUAUCGUGCCAACGGUAAACGCUGGGUAGCUAUGUAUGGAGUGGAUAACCGCUGAAAGCAUCUAAGUGGGAAGCCCACCUCAAGAUAAG